UGGUGGAGUGAUUUGUCUGGUUAAUUCCGAUAACGAACGAGAUCUUUACCUGCUUACUAGACACGCGUAUCUUUACCGUUAAGCCUUGGUCGUGGCGUUUGGUCCCGCUUCCUUCGGGGGGCGGUGGACCCCUGCGGCCUCGGUGGACUGAUACGUGGAUGAGCUUCUUAGAGGGACUAUCUGCGUUUAGCAGAUGGAAGUUGAAGGCAAUAACA
rnacentral:rRNA from 1 species